AAAUUCAUGACCUUCAACCUCAUGAACCAUGAAUAUGUAAACGUAGAUAUAUUUUCAUGCAUGUACAGAAACGAGAACAUAUCUUAUAUGGAGCUAAAGGAAGACGAACCCAGCUAGAUUUUCAUCUACAAACAAAGGAAAAUUACGUACUUUAAAUAAAUAGUAAGAAAAUAAAAAAAGAAAUACACAAAAAAAAAAAUUAUAAGAAGAACAUACCCAAAAUAAUUGUUGCAACUUCUAGAAUUUUCUUCUCCACUAUUGAUGACGAGAAAAUACGAAUUAGGCUAAAGGCAAAAGCGAAUAAUGGUAGAAGGACGACCUUUUUUCUUUUUUUUUUUUU
rnacentral:lncRNA from 1 species